rnacentral:lncRNA from 1 species
UAAGGUCCUUUUGAGUGCCAACCUUUAUUGCAAACUGAAUUAAUUGCUUGAUUGUCUUGAUUGGAAAUCUGUCACCAAGUGUUUGAUGAAAGUCCUUGGUGCAAAUUCUGUUUGAUAUUUCCAGCAGUAGCAAAAUCUAUUUUCUGUGGCAAUUACAUUGAUCUGGUGGAUUCUUUGUGAGUGUUUUGUGGCUGCAGAAAAGCUUCAAGCAAUUACCUAUUGUUGGUAGCAUAUUAGAAAGAAGAUUGGUGAGGUUAAAGUUGGUUGAAGGGUGGCUUGGUGUUNCAGAUUUCUCACGGCAGAGUGCAGAAUUUGCUCCAGACUUUGUUGCAACAACAGCAACUGCUGGACAGAGUGCGAAACACCAUGAGUUAGCCUCAUUUUUUGACUGCAACUGUGAGCUUUGUGUGGCUACAUCUAGUGCCAACAAGUUUCCUUUGAAGAGAAGCCAAAGUUGCACUUCCAAACCCCUUCCAUUGUUANNNNN